GAAAUGUUUCUUAAUAUCCAACUUGAGCCUCGCUGGAACAACUUCAGGCCAUUCCUUCUCCCUGUAUCGCUGUAACGUGGGAGAAGAGACCAACCCCCACCUCACUGCAACCUCCUUUCAGGGAGUUGUAGGGAGCAUCCAUCACCUCUUACCAGGGAUAAGAAAGUGCACGAGGUGCAAUUAAUUCCACGUACAGCAGCACUGCUGGAAGAAGUAAUCAUAAACCAGACUUAAGAUGAACAACUUGGAUAGUAAUAUUUUGAAGUCGAGAUAUUUUUUGGACCUGUCAUCUUUGGAUGAAGUUCUGAGCUGCUCUUAUUUCUUACAUUAAUUAUAUUAUGUGUUCUGAAACAAGACUGAAAAUAACAGACUCGACUCAAAGAGCAGAUGGGUACUCUCACAGAUGGCAUGCACAAAAGCAGGAGUCCGGACCACUUCUUCCUCUCUCUAAGCAAAGUGUUCAUUAUGAGAGAAAACCAGAAUCCUCCCUCCCCUGACUGCGGAGUUCUCCUGGAACAGGGACACUUCGACCCUCAGCUCCCUUCUCCUCACUCACCAAAAGAUGCCAGCAAAGAGCUUUGUUUUUACAGCUCAGCCACCAGCUCUGCAUCAGGAACCUUCGUGCUGCAUUCUGGAGAAUGGAUUUUUCUUGGAAGUCCUGCUUUCAGUGCGUUCCCCGGUGGGAUGUGGUGUGGGGACACCCAAGCAGGGCAGCAGCUGGCUGUUGGGCGCAUCGCUGAUGCAUUCUGCACGAGGAGCUGCGAGCAAGCAGAGCAUGGGGAAUCACACCGGUUCGGCUGGAAACGUACAGAAGUGGUGCUGCCAGACUCGUCAUCUCACAGUAAAGGCCAGUCUGAAGUUUGGGUGGUCAAGGAUCUAACUGAUACUUGCUGGGAAAAUAAUGCUGCUGUGGGUCAGGGGCUGGAGGUGGUGCUGCAUUGGGCAGGAUUUGGUAUUUUGCAGAGGAGAUGUGGGAAAUGAGAACAUGUUCAGAGGAUGCAAUGGAGAGCAAUGCAGGUGUUGGAGCAGGGAGCCAUUGCAGCCCCUCGUUCCUGCUCUCCCAUGGAGCUGUGUGUGCUGCAUACCUCCCACUCCGUGUCUGUGCUGUUCAUGCUGGCCCAGUCCCUGCAGUGCCACCUUGAUGUGACAUCCAUGUCCUUCAGCACUGCUCCUGAGCACAGCGGAGAGGAGAGGCAAGAGUUGCAGGUUGCCACAGUAACCCCUGCUCCACCACCUUUUGCUUCUCCACCAGGAAAAUACAUCUGCAGACACCCAGCUCUGCAGACACCCAGCUCCAUGCUCAUGAUUUAUACUGAUCGUGUUUGCACUGGGGCUACUGAACGCUGAGGGCUGGUGUAGAAGACCCCUGCAGGACCAGCUCCAUGCUUCUGAAUCCCCAUUGCUUCCAGAUCUCCUUCAUGCAGCCAAACCACCUCGGGCUGACUGCCUGAAAUAGGGCUGAGUGUCAUUCCCCCUGAACUCAACGAGAGCCUUCUCAUUGAAACAGCAGCUUUCUUUUGGAGAUUUUUUGGAGAAGCAGGCUGAGAGCCAGUAUUCCUUCAGGUAAAUGCUUCUCCUUCCAUCAGUGCACCUGUGGAUUAGCUGUGAGUAAUUUCCUCUUGAAACGUUUUGCAAAGAUAUUCUUUGCACA